AGCCCCGGCAAUGGACAAAGAGCUACCAUGUUGGUGGUGGUGUUCUUGUACGAGUCAAGGGCAGAGAAGAUGGCAGUCUCCUUUGUUCAUCCAAGUUAAUGCCUGGCUUGGUGGCCAAAGCUGUUUUAUGUUUAGGACACAUAA